rnacentral:rRNA from 1 species
UGGGGAAUAUUGGGCAAUGGGCGAAAGCCUGACCCAGCGACGCCGCGUGGGUGAUGAAGGCCUUCGGGUUGUAAAGCCCUGUCAUGCGGAAAGAACGACCCUGAGACGCAUACUCUCGGGGAGUGACGGUACCGCAGGAGGAAGCACCGGCUAACUCCGUGCCAGCAGCCGCGGUAAUACGGAGGGUGCAAGCGUUGUUCGGAAUUAUUGGGCGUAAAGGGCGCGUAGGCGGUAAUGUAAGUCAGAUGCGAAAUACUCCGGCUCAACCAGAGAACAGCAUCUGAAACUGCAUAACUAGAGUACAGAAGAGGGAAACGGAAUUCCCGGUGUAGAGGUGAAAUUCAUAGAUAUCGGGAGGGACACCAGUGGCGAAGGCGGUUUCCUGGUCUGAUACUGACGCUGAGGCGCGAAAGCGUGGGGAGCAAACAG